ACAAAUCCGUGCCCACCGCCUCUGAAUAAAGACCGCGUCAACAUUCCGCAACCGACUAGCCGCUUCCAGAUUAACUGACACUGUGAUUCAAAACAAUCCUAACCGUUAAUUUCAGCAAUCACAGUUUAAUCUCAGCCUUCCAAUCUCAUUCUACUUCUCUAUAAAUAACGCUCCUCCUCCCUUCCUUGGAUUCUUGCCUUGGGUCGUAGGCUUCGAGAUGAUGAUCUGUGGUGAAGGCGUUGGUUAAUUCUGGUUUUCCUUCUAUUUUCUGCUAGACAUCUGUGAGAUCGUCUUGGCUUUGAUUGUUUACGUUGAUGAUAUGAUUCGUUUAUGUUUCGGUUCGUCUGUGCAGAAAAUAUUUUGAUGCGAAGAGAAUUGUUGAUGUGGAUAUUUCUUCUUUUCUCCAUGCGUGGUUAUUGUUUUGCUAGUUAUUUUGCCGAAGAUCUAAUGCUUAGGUUUAUUUAGGAUCUGUUUCUGGAUUUGUUUGUAUUUGGUAGAUUGUUCACCAUACUGGUAGAAUUCUCUCUGGUUGUUUUGUGGUGUUAGGUAUUUGGAAUAAAGCAGAAUCGAGGAUUGAGGUAGAAGGUAUUUUCUUGGUUUGCAUUGGCUUUCUGUUUGAUCGCGGAAUUUGUGUUUCGAAUUGAAUUGCCACGCAGCUUAACACAGAUCUGAUGAUUGGUUAAUUGAUUGAUUUCAGCUCUAGUAUGAAACAGAGUUUGAUCCCUGAUAUUUUACGGUGCACAGCGGCAUUGGUGGUAGUUUGAUAAUCGAUUUAAUAUGAUAUUCUCUUUUGGAAGUUCCUCUUUUCGGUUAAGUGUUAUUUCUUCCUUCAUUCAGCGGGUUCGCUCAGUGGUUCUUAGAUCAUUGUGUUAAAUCUUUAAAACUCUUGUUAAUUAAUUUUAUGAUGGCUAACAAAAACGGUUCUUUUGGUGGUUCCUUUCUGCGCUUUUUCAAGGAAUGGAUCAAGAUUGUUUGCUUGAAUUUCCACUAUUAUCAGGAUUGGUGGUUUGUGGUUUGAUUUCCACUAUUAUCAGGAAUGGAGAAUCAGUUUCUGAGUUCUUAUGUUUGCAUGUGUUUUCAGCUAAUUGUUCGAGGAGGAUGUUGACUAGGAAUGAUAAGGGAGUUUUCUCGUCUCUUCUAAUAUUGAUUCUCUCCACUUCAUAUAAGUAGAAUCAUGGAGCUAAUACUUCUAUAAUUUUUAGAUUUUUAGUGCCUCCUGAUCAGGUUUCGAUGAUUCAAGUGUUUAUAUUUUGAUUAAUAAGAUAGAUUUAACAAAUUUUUACUUGAAAACAAGAAUUUAUAGGACUUCUUUGUACGCACAAUAAUAAAUGAGUUUUGGAUGUUUGUUUUUUCAGGAUCUGAUUCCAUUGACAUGGAUUGAUAGUGAUGCCGGAAGUGUUUGAUAACAUAAAUAUGUUAGCUGUGAUUUCUUGUUUUGUUGCUGUGGUAUAAAACAUCUAAGUUUUAAGGUGAUUAAGUAGGAGCCUGCCUUCUGUAUUUGUCUCUGGAGUUCCAUGGCUGACUAUUGCUCUUAGCAUUAUCUUCCGUUGCAGCUUCAGUGUGCCAAGUGGUUUAAGAUGUGUAUGAUACAAUGAUUUCUGCCCAUUAUAUGGUGUUACUCGAAGAUGCACUUUUUUGUGUCUCCAGUUUCCCCCUUUUGAUGAGCUAUAUAGAGGGAAUUGAUGUUUAUGAAUGGAGUGUUCAUCGUCCUCUGCUUUUGGUGUAAGAUGUGUUUGAUACAAUGUUAUGGUAUUACUCGAAGAUGUACUUUUUUGUGUCUCCAGGUUCCCUUGAGAUGAGCUAUAUGGAAGGAGAUGUUGAUGUCAUGGAGGGAGUAUUUUCAGGAUUCCAUUACAGUGGAUUGAUUAAUGGAUUUGCGAGAGACAUAUAGAUAUCCUUUGUCUGCAUUCGUUUGGUGUUUAGGUACAGCUUAGAUGCAAGUUGGAAUCUUCUUUCUAUGACUCAUUAUUUGAUGUCUUUUGUGGCUUGGUUUUUGUUGAUUUUUUCUACUUAAGUUUCAAGUUUGUUCUACUCAAAAACAGGAUUUGCUGUCCGUCAGUUUUGAUUAUUCCAAGGAUGAUGAUUUUUUGGUGUGAUUUCCAGGACCUUGGAGCAUUUUGUUGGUGGUUAAUUCUAUGUGCUUGGUAAAACCUGUUAGUAGGGUAAUCGCUUAGAUUUAUUUUAUUUUAUUGAACAGUGCUUAGCUUAGGUGGACUAACAGGACCCAGGGUUUUUAUCCCCUGUUAUCUUUCUGGCAGUUAAAUUUACAUCUCCAUACUCAUUAGGACAAAUAACUAGUUUGUGAGUUUCUAUGCUAGAGGGAGAUGUUGAGUAGGGAGGGUGAGGGAGUUCUCUUUCCUCUUUCUAAUGUUGGCUUGCCCCUUAUACCAAGUAAAUUUCUGAAUUUAAUAUUUUUAUAAUCGUGAGAUCUUCAUCUCAGUGUAAUCCUUGAGUGUAUACUGUUAUAAUCUUUAGAUUUUCACUGCCUUCUGAUCAGGUUUAUUUGAUCCAUUGUUUUGGGUAAUCAUACAUAAGGAGCUGAGAUAUGCCUGGGCUGCAUUCCCUUGAGCUUCUGCAUCCUUAUCUUCAAUUGGUCUAUGAACUUGCUUCUGCUUUUCCAAUGAUGCAAUUUUGUUUUAGGAACACGGGGGAGUGUGAUAGGCUUGAUGAAGAUGUAUGUUCCUUGGUGAUAGUUCAUAAAUUUUAAUAUAAGAAGGUAGUGUCCUUGUGAGAACAGUAAUAAAUGAGGUUCAGAUUGUUUUCCCAGGUUCUGCACAAGUGAAUUGAUGUACGGACCACUACUGAAGGAUGUUGCCUUUUGUUUUGGCUCUGGGGACCUAUGGCUGCAUGGGAAGUGUAAUAAUGACACUGCUCUUAGCAUUAGUUCCAGUUCUUGUUGAUUUUCAGCUUCAGUGUGAGCUUGGGUGUGCCUCCAGUGAGCCUGUCUGGCAGCUUGUGGAUGGUGUGAUCAGGAAGUUAUUGACUUGGUUUUUGUUUCUUUUUUAUUUGUUUUUAUUGGUUCACAAAUGUUUGGUGGUGGUUGAUUCAGAUAACUGGUAGUAAAUUUUCAGGAUUCCAUCAAUGUAGUGGAUGAACUGGUUUUUGAAUUCAUUUGUUGUUGGCUUCUUGAUGAUGGCAUGGACGUUGUCUUUUGGAUGGAAGUAUUUCUACUUUUGAGUUUCAUAUUUGUUGUUUUUAACAACAUGAAUUGGAUGCAUCAACCGUGGUUAUUUUGAGGAUUGAGGAUUGAUGAUUUGUGGGUGAUAUCUAGGAUUUUGGAGUUUAGCUGCUUUUUUUCUUGUCAAGUGACCUGCUGGCAGACUAGUCGGGAGAUUUUUGUGACCUUUUUGUUUCUGGAAAUUAAAUUCAUAAUAUCCCUAUUUCUGAGUUUUUAUAUUUGUGUGUGUUUACAGCCUGUUAUUUGAGGAAGAUGAUGUGUGGGAUUGGUCAGGAAGGAAGUUCUCUUGCCCCUUCCUGUGUUUCCAGCCUGUUAUUUGAGGAAGUUGUGGUGUGGGAGUGGGAAUGAUCAGGGAGUUCUCUUGCCCCUUCUAGCAUUGGGUCUCUCCUUCAUAUAAGAAGAAUUCUUGAGUGAAUAUUGUUGUAGUUUUGAUACUUUCAUUGAUUCCAGUGUUUACUCGUGGAGCAUAUUGAGAUCAAUUGAAGAUGCUAAUCAAGAAGUUUCUUUGAUUCAAGUGUUUCUCAAAACUAGACAUGGAACAUUUUGAGAUUAUGAUAUGGGAUUGGAAGCUCUCUGUGUCCCCCUGACCUCAUCUCUCUCCGUUGCUCUCUUCUAAAAAGAAGACUUCCUUUUGCCGUAAUCAUUACUUUAUUCAGCUUGGUGAGUGCAUUGAAAAAUCCUUGGGGCCUUCCAGUGCGUUAUUCUGGCAGCUUGUGAACAGGGAAGUCUUUGCCCAAGUCUUUGGAUUAAAAUGUGCUGGAGACAAUGGUACUCUGUCCGUCUUAUUCCACUAUAUGGUCUCAAAGAUGCACUUACUUGUGUCUCCAGGUUCCCUUGAGAUUAGCUGUAUAGAAGGAGAAGAUGUUUAUGGAGGGGAGUAUUCUAGUCCUCUGCUCAUGUUAUGUUGGGGAUAUCGGGUGUGGUUUUCUUCUUGUUUGUUUUAAUGGUUCAGAUAUGUUUUGUGGGGGUUGAUUCUAAAGAACUAGUAGUAAUUUUUUUGGAUUCCGUCAAUGUGGUGGACUAAUGGGUUUGUGAGGGGAAGAACUUUUGCAUCCAUUUAAUGUUGGCUCUUUGAUUACAGGCAUGAGCUUGCAUCUUCUGCAACUCAUCAUUUGCGAAUACGUUGACAGGCUUGAUCAGGAAGUCUUUUGUGCCUUGUCCUUCUGUUGGAAGUUUUUCUUCUUAAGUAUCAAAUUUUUUUCCACUUAAGAGAAGGUUUUGGGUGUUGUCGUUCUGAGGUUUGUGGUGUGAUUUCCAGGAUCGAGUAGCAUUUUUUGGGGUCGAUUCCUUUGUGCAUCGUUCGAGCUGUUGGCUGGGUGGUUGGGGAGAUAUUUUCACCCCUUAUAACUAGUUUCGUAGUCUUUAUUUUUGUACGUGUUCCCAGCUUUUUAUUUGAGGAUGUCAAAGCAAGAAUGAGUGUUCAGGGGGUUGUCUUGCCUCUUCCAAUAUUGGUUCUUUCUUUGUAUCAAGUAGCGUGAGUGUUGUUAUAACUUUGAGAUCUUUCCUUGACAGGUUUCCUUGAUUGCAGUGUUAAAUUGUGGAGCAUAAUGAAACCAAUUGGAUGAUAUCUUGGAAGUAUUCUCUUCUUCUUCUCCUCCUCUUUCGUGUUUUUCUUUUUUUUUUUUUUCGUUGAGCUUUUUCUUUAGGGUCCCUUAGAUGUCUUUUCUUAAUUUGAUGUUUUGUGCCUGAUCUUUAAUUUUCUCUCUCCUCAUCAUCUUGGCUAUGAGCUUGCACAUGCUUUUUUCCAGCGACUCCAUGGUGGUGUUUGAUUUGUGGUUCCCCAUAGUGUGCUGUAUUUGUAUUGGUCAGUAUGCUAAAUUUUAAGUGAGUUGCCGUUUGAAGUAAUCAAAUCUUCUCAGUGAUCUUAGUUGGUUAUGUUGGUGAGUUGGCAUGGUAUAAUUCCUCUAUUUGUGGCAUUACCCAGUUUAAGGAGCUUGCUAUUUGUAUGGGUUUCUCUUGCUGCAAAGAUGAGAAUGCUUUUUAUUGGAGGAUGUCCAAGCAAGAAUGAGUGUUCAGGGGGUUGUCUUGCCUCUUCCAAUAUUGGUUCUCUUUGUAUCAAGUAGUGAGAGUGUUGUUAUAACUUUGAGAUCUUUCCUUGACAGGUUUCCUUGAUUGCAGUGUUAAAUUGUGGAGCAUAAUGAAAUCAAUUGGAUAAUACUGAUCUUGGAAGUAUUCUCUUCUUCUUCUCCUGCCCUUUUGUGUUUUUUUCUUUUUUUUCCGUUGAGCUUUUUCUUUGGGGUCCCUUAGUUGUCUUUUCUUAAUUUGAUGUUUUGUGCCUGAUCUUUAAUUUUCUCUCUCCUCAUCAUCUUGGCUAUGAGCUUACACAUGCUUUUUUCCAGCGACUCCAUGUUGGUGUUUGAUUUGUGGUUCCCCAUAGUGUGCUGUAUUUGUAUUGGUCGGUAUGCUAAAUUUUGUAUUUUACUUAAACUGCUUUGAAUUGUACCCAUGAGUUGCCGUUUGAAGUAAUCAAAUCUUCUCAGUGAUCUUAGUAGGUUAUGUUGGUGAAUUGGUAUGGUAUAAUUCCUCUAUUUGUGGCAUCACCCAGUUUAAGGAGCUUGCUAUUUGUAUGGGUUUCUCUUGCUGCAAAGAUGAGAAUGCUUUUUGUUGGAGGAUGUCAAAGCAAGAAUGAGUGUUCAGGGGGUUGUCUUGCCUCUUCCAAUAUUGGUUCUUUCUUUGUAUCAAGUAGUGAGAGUGUUGUUAUAACUUUGAGAUCUUUCCUUGACAGGUUUCCUUGAUUACAGUGUUAAAUUGUGGAGCAUAAUGAAAUCAAUUGGAUGAUACUGAUCUUGGAAGUAUUCUCUUCUUCUCCUGCUCUUUUGUGUUUUUUUCUUUUUUUUCCAUUGAGCUUUUUCUUAGGGGUCCCUUAGUUGUCUUUUCUUAAUUUGAUGUUUUGUGCCUGAUCUUUAAUUUUCUGUCUCCUCAUCAUCUUGGCUAUGAGCUUGCACAUGCUUUUUUCCAGCGACUCCAUGGUGGUGUUUGAUUUGUGGUUCCCCAUAAUGUGCUGUAUUUGUAUUGGCUGGUAUGCUAAAUUUUGUAUUUUACUUAAACUGCUUUGAAUUGUACCCAUGAGUUGCCGUUUGAAGUAAUCAGAUCUUCUCAGUGAUCUUAGUUGGUUAUGUUGGUGAGGUUGUAUGGUAUAAUUCCUCAAUUUGUGGCAUCACCCAGUUUAAGGAGCUUGCUAUUUGUAUGGGUUUCUCUUGCUGCAAAGAUGAGAAUGCUUUUUGUUGGAGGAUGUCAAAGCAAGAAUGAGUGUUCAGGGGGUUGUCUUGCCUCUUCCAAUAUUGGUUCUUUCUUUGUAUCAAGUAGUGAGAGUGUUGUUAUAACUUUGAGAUCUUUCCUUGACAGGUUUCCUUGAUUACAGUGUUAAAUUGUGGAGCAUAAUGAAAUCAAUUGGAUGAUCCUGAUCUUGGAAGUAUUCUCUUCUUCUCCUGCUCUUUUGUGUUUUUUUCUUUUUUCUCCAUUGAGCUUUUUCUUAGGGGUCCCUUAGUUGUCUUUUCUUAAUUUGAUGUUUUGUGCCUGAUCUUUAAUUUUCUGUCUCCUCAUCAUCUUGGCUAUGAGCUUGCACAUGCUUUUUUCCAGCGACUCCAUGGUGGUGUUUGAUUUGUGGUUCCCCAUAAUGUGCUGUAUUUGUAUUGGCUGGUAUGCUAAAUUUUGUAUUUUACUUAAACUGCUUUGAAUUGUACCCAUGAGUUGCCGUUUGAAGUAAUCAGAUCUUCUCAGUGAUCUUAGUUGGUUAUGUUGGUGAGGUUGUAUGGUAUAAUUCCUCAAUUUGUGGCAUCACCCAGUUUAAGGAGCUUGCUAUUUGUAUGGGUUUCUCUUGCUGCAAAGAUGAGAAUUUCAAGCAUGAUUCAUGGUCUUCUUGAUUACCAGCUUUAAUGUGAGCUUGAGUUUCUUCAAGGAGUUGUUUUGACAACCUGUGGACAGGAAGUUCUUUCCAGAGUUUUUUGUUUAAGGUGUUCAAAUUUUUUACUUAACAGGAUUGUGAGGUUUGGAUGCUUGCUUUUGCAGGAUAAAUUGGUUGCCUCACAUGCUAAAAGAUCACUGCCAGAGUUUGAUAAAAUGAUAUUCUGACCUUAAUCCCAUAAUUUAUUCUUGUUAUUGUUGGUUGGUAUUGUGUAUCGAAGUUUAAGGUCUUAAUCAAAAGAUACUUUAUGUCUCCAGGCUUCCCGUUGUUCUCGUUAUUUUUUUGCCUUGUUACUUGUGAUGGAGUGUCUUAGACGGCCUACAUGCUGUGUGUCAGCCAACUGCAACUGUUAACAGGGGUUUGCAAGUCUCGGCCUUUCCUUCUUUUGGUCUGCUUCCGCUUUGAUUACUUCCUGUUGCUUUGCUGACGGGUGGCAUAUGGUUGUAACAUAAUUGCAAGUCUUGUUCUCUUCUUUGGUCCACUUCCAGGUUUAAUUGCUACAGUUGGAUAUAUAUAUAUAUACUGGAGAUAUGAAGGGAAUCCUGAUUUAAUUUUUUGGUUUGUGCUUCUACUAUCUAUCUGUAUCAUAUUGUGAUCUUAAGUCUACAUGAUUCAAUUUCUCUCUGAGCGCUGUGCAUAUGUUUGCAAUGAUGAUGAUCAACGAUUGAGAUUUUCAGUAGGGUGUCCCCCUCCUACAUGACAUUCUCUUACUAGAAUGGAAUAGAUGUUGAAAGUUGGAAGUAAUUGCUUCUCUAUUGUUGUUACUCUGUUAUGAUCUUGUUUCUUCCUUGAGGUUCAGUGAGAGAGAUUGACACACGGGUAAUUAGCUGGUUUCGAGAUGUUGGGAAGGGGACAGACAGAUGUAUUUUGACGUGUUGGUCUGUUACUGUAUCUGUAUUUUUUGGUUGCGCACUAGUGGUAUUAGUUUCUCCUGUGGCACAGAAGGCUGGUGUUUUUGUGAAUUCUUUUCCAAGUGUUAAUUACUUUGUGAAUUGUUUUCCAAGUGUUACUUACUUUGUUCUUUCUUCUUCAGUGGUCUUCGUUUGUGUGGUUUUUAAUGCAUGUAACUCCGCCUGUGUCAGCAAAUACACAGCCGGUCUCAAGCCCGGAAAAAGGAGGAGAGGUUGCAAAUUGUUUGGACUGGUGCUUGGUAAGGUGAUGAUAAUUGCUUGUUGCUUAAUUUGGGAUAUCUUUCAGCAAAGAUUUGUUACUUGUGCGGAUGUUGCAUUGUUAAAAGAUAUCAAAAUAUUUCCUGUUUGUGUCCUGAAAAGAUCUAGUUAAUAUCAUUGGCCGCAUAAGCUAGGCUAAGCCCUUGAUAAAUUGAUGCUAUAGUUCUGCAAUCACACGGUUUCAGAUUGGUGAACGCCUGUAUUGUUAUUGUGCUUAGGGUUUCUGUAUCGCGAGGUGCUUCAACUGAUAUUAACUAGAUCUUGUAUUUAUCUUUGUGUUCCUGAAUUGUUAUAGUCAUUUUUUAAAUGGCUAAAGCAGAUCCUGUAUUCAUCUUUCCUUUAUUUUUUGGAAGUAUUGCUACUAUAUCAUCUUCAGUUUCUUUUCCUUUGUGGGC